CACGGUUAAUCUUAGAUUCAAUUUAUCCUGCUUGAAGCACAACCUAACAUUGUUUUUAACGUAGAACUGUAUGCUUCUACUUUUAUUUACUUUUUUAGGGCGAGCUUUCUGACCAAGUAUACAACUACCCAGAGGGCCUAGGAGAAGUGCUGUACAGAGAGCAGUUCGACUUCAACGCUGAGCCACCUUGGGAACCUAGCUGAUGAUAGGGGGGUUCCAUCUCCUAACUUGUCCAUGGAGGUCUUCACUUCAGAAAUCCAAGACUCAUAUUCAUCCAGCCUGGUGUCAAGUGGGCUGUUGCUGCCAGAAUUAUCUUGUGAUUAUUUGAGAGAUGUAUCAGUUUCUUCUGAAGUACAAUCAACUAUAGAAGCCUUUGUAGCAGGUGUG
ensembl:lncRNA